rnacentral:rRNA from 1 species
UACGAAGGGUGCAAGCGUUAUCCGGAUUCACUGGGUUUAAAGGGUGCGUAGGAGGGCAGGUAAGUCAGUGGUGAAAUCCCCGAGCUUAACUUGGGAACUGCCGUUGAUACUAUCUGUCUUGAAUAUUGUGGAGGUGAGCGGAAUAUGUCAUGUAGCGGUGAAAUGCUUAGAUAUGACAUAGAACACCAAUUGCGAAGGCAGCUCGCUACACAUAUAUUGACUCUGAGGCACGAAAGCGUGGGGAUCAAACAGG